AUACGUAGGUGGCGAGCGUUGUCCGGAAUUACUGGGCGUAAAGGAUGCGUAGGUGGAUACUUAAGUGGGAUGUGAAAUCCCCGGGCUCAACCCGGGAACUGCAUUCCAAACUGGGUAUCUAGAGUGCAGGAGAGGAAAGCGGAAUUCCUAGUGUAGCGGUGAAAUGCGUAGAUAUUAGGAGGAACACCAGUGGCGAAGGCGGCUUUCUGGACUGAAACUGACACUGAGGCAUGAAAGCGUGGGUAGCAAACAGGAUUAGAUCCCCUGGUAGUCCACGCUGUAAACGAUGGGUACUAGGUGUAGGAGGUAUCGACCCCUUCUGUGCCGUCGUUAACGCAAUAAGUACCCCGCCUGGGGAGUACGGUCGCAAGACUAAAACUCAAAGGAAUUGACGGGG
rnacentral:rRNA from 1 species